rnacentral:lncRNA from 1 species
CCCAAAGAGCCGAGAUUGCAGCCUCUGCCCGGCCGCCACCCCGUCUGGGAAGUGAGGAGCGUCUCUGCUUGGCCACCCAUCGUCUGGGAUAUGAGGAGCCCCUCUGCCUGGCUGCCCAGUGUGGAAAGUGAGGAGCGUCUCUGCCCGGCCGCCAUCCCAUCUAGGAAGCGAGAAGCGCCUCUUCCCCGCCGCCAUCCCAUCUAGGAAGUGAGGAGCGUCUCUGCCCGGCCGCCCAUCGUCUGAGAUGUGGGGAGCACCUCUGCCCCACCGCCCUGUCUGGGAUGUGAGGAGCGCCUCUGCUGGGCCGCAACCCUGUCUGGGAGGUGAGGAGUGUCUCUGCCCGGCCGCUCCGUCUGAGAAGUGAGGAAACCCUCUGCCUGGCAACCGCCCCGUCUGAGAAGUGAGGAGCCCCUCCGUCUGGCAACCACCCCGUCUGGGAAGUGAGGAGCGUCUCCGCCCGGCAGCCACCCCGUCCGGGAGGGAGGUGGGGGGGGUCAGCCCCCCGCCCGGCCAGCCGCCCCGUCCGGGAGGUGAGGGGCGCCUCUGCCCGGCCGCCCCUACUGGGAAGUGAGGAGCCCCUCUGCCCGGCCAGCCGCCCCGCCCAGGAGGGAGGUGGGGGGGUCAGCCCCCCGCCCGGCCAGCCGCCCCGUCCGGGAGGGGGGA